rnacentral:rRNA from 1 species
UACGGGGGGAGCAAGCGUUGUUCGGAUUUACUGGGCGUAAAGGGCGCGUAGGCGGUCGUGACAAGUCACUUGUGAAAUCUCCGGGCUUAACUCGGAACGGUCAAGUGAUACUGUCGGACUAGAGUACAGAAGGGGCAACUGGAAUUCUCGGUGCAGCGGUGAAAUGCGCAGAUAUCCGGAGGAACACCGGUGGCGAAGGCGGCUUCCUGGACCGACACUGACGCUGAGGCGCGAAAGCGUGGGGAGCGAACAGG